rnacentral:rRNA from 1 species
UACGUAGGUCCCGAGCGUUGUCCGGAUUUAUUGGGCGUAAAGCGAGCGCAGGUGGUUUAUUAAGUCUGGUGUAAAAGGCAGUGGCUCAACCAUUGUAUGCAUUGGAAACUGGUAGACUUGAGUGCAGGAGAGGAGAGUGGAAUUCCAUGUGUAGCGGUGAAAUGCAUAGAUAUCACGCAGAACUCCGAUUGCGAAGGCAGCGUACCGGCGCCCAACUGACGCUGAAGCACGAAGGCGUGGGUAUCGAACAGG